GUAGGGAAUAUUGCACAAUGGGCGAAAGCCUGAUGCAGCAACGCCGCGUGCGCGAUGAAGGCCUUCGGGUCGUAAAGCGCUUUUUGAGGGGAUGAGGAAGGACAGUACCCUCAGAAUAAGGAUCGGCUAACUACGUGCCAGCAGCCGCGGUAAAACGUAGGAUCCGAGCGUUAUCCGAAUUUACUGGGCGUAAAGCGUGUGCAGGCGGUUCGGUAAGUUGGAUGUGAAAUCUCCUGGCUCAACUGGGAGAGGUCGUUCAAUACUACCGGACUAGAGGGUGGUAGAGGGAGGUGGAAUUCCCGGUGUAGUGGUGAAAUGCGUAGAUAUCGGGAGGAACACCAGUGGCGAAGGCGGCCUCCUGGACCAUUCCUGACGCUCAGACACGAAAGCUAGGGGAGCGAACGGGAUUAGAAACCCCAGUAGUCC
rnacentral:rRNA from 1 species